UGGGGAAUAUUGGACAAUGGGCGAAAGCCUGAUCCAGCCAUGCCGCGUGUGGGAAGAAGGUCUUGGGAUUGUAAAGCACUUUAAGUUGGGAGGAAGGGCAGUAAGCGAAUACCUUGCUGCUUUGACGUUACCGACAGAAUAAGCACCGGCUAACUCUGUGCCAGCAGCCGCGGUAAUACAGAGGGUGCAAGCGUUAAUCGGAAUUACUGGGCGUAAAGCGCGCGUAGGUGGUUCGUUAAGUUGAAUGUGAAAGCCCCGGGCUCAACCUGGGAACUGCAUCCAAAACUGGCGAGCUAGAGUAUGGCAGAGGGUGGUGGAAUUUCCUGUGUAGCGGUGAAAUGCGUAGAUAUAGGAAGGAACACCAGUGGCGAAGGCGACCACCUGGGCUCAUACUGACACUGAGGUGCGAAAGCGUGGGGAGCAAACAGG
rnacentral:rRNA from 1 species